rnacentral:rRNA from 1 species
ACGAACGCUGGCGGCAUGCCUCACACAUGCAAGUCGCACGAGACCUUCGGGUCUAGUGGCGCACGGGUGCGUAACGCGUGGGAACCUGCCCUUAGGUUCGGAAUAACUCCCCGAAAGGGGUGCUAAUACCGGAUAAUGUCUUCGGACCAAAGAUUUAUCGCCUUUGGAUGGGCCCGCGUUGGAUUAGCUAGUUGGUAGGGUAAAAGCCUACCAAGGCGACGAUCCAUAGCUGGUCUGAGAGGAUGAUCAGCCACACUGGGACUGAGACACGGCCCAGACUCCUACGGGAGGCAGCAGUGGGGAAUAUUGGACAAUGGGCGAAAGCCUGAUCCAGCAAUGCCGCGUGAGUGAUGAAGGCCUUAGGGUUGUAAAGCUCUUUUACCCGGGAUGAUAAUGACAGUACCGGGAGAAUAAGCUCCAGCUAACUCCGUG